UACGUAGGGACCGAGCGUUGUCCGGAUUCAUUGGGCGUAAAGAGCUCGUAUGCGGCUGUUCAAGUCUCACGUGAAAACUCGGAGCUCAACUCCGAGCCUGCGUUCGAUACUGGACGGCUAGAGUCUGGUAGGGGGAUCUGGAAUUCCUGGUGUAGCGGUGGAAUGCGCAGAUAUCAGGAGGAACACCGGUGGCGAAGGCGGUUCUCUGGGCAUUACCUGACGCUGAGGAGCGAAAGCAUGGGGAGCGAACAGG
rnacentral:rRNA from 1 species